rnacentral:rRNA from 1 species
AGUGAACGCUGGCGGUAGGCCUAACACAUGCAAGUCGAACGGCAGCACAGUAAGAGCUUGCUCUUACGGGUGGCGAGUGGCGGACGGGUGAGGAAUACAUCGGAAUCUACUUUUUCGUGGGGGUUAAGGAAGGAAAACUACGCCAAUUCCGCAUAAGAACCUCCGGUGAAAGGCAGGGGAUUUUGGACCUUUCGCGGAUGAAUUGGGCGGAUGUCGGAUUAGCUAGUUGGCGGGGUAAAGGCCCACCAAGGCGACGAUCCGUAGCUGGUCUGAGAGGAUGAUCAGCCACACUGGAACUGAGACACGGUCCAGACUCCUACGGGAGGCAGCAGUGGGGAAUAUUGGACAAUGGGCGCAAGCCUGAUCCAGCCAUACCGCGUGGGUGAAGAAGGCCUUCGGGUUGUAAAGCCCUUUUGUUGGGAAAGAAAAGCAGCAGGUUAAUACCCCGCUGUUCUGACGGUACCCAAAGAAUAAGCACCGGCUAACUUCGUG